GCGCCCCUCCUCCGUCUUCCUUCCCUUCUCUUCUUCCCCCGACAGCGAACUCGGGAGCCGAGACUCCCGACCGAGAAGGGGAGAACUCGGCGACGGCGAGCCGAGGGGAGAACAACCCGAGAGGGGUCCUUAAUCAGCGAUCGAAGAAGGUGGGUGCAGGAGCAAGCCAGCCCGCUGCCACCAUGAGGCGCGCCUCGAAGAAGUCGUCCUCGUCCGCCGCGACCGCCAGCGCUGGUGCGGAACAAGUAAAUGAAAAACAAAACAGAAAAAGAAAAGGAGUCAGUACAGACCUGACCAGCAGGAAAGCACAACGUGGCCCUACGAAAGCAGUUUCCAAGGAAGUUGAACGGAUUGAUCAAUUUUUCUAUGCUUACGCUGAUAACUCAUCUGGCAUGAUUGACCCAGAAGGCAUUGAAACACUCUGUUCUCAUCUCGAAGUUCCCCAUACCGAUGUUAGGAUUCUGAUGUUAGCAUGGAAAAUGGGCUGUGAGAAGCAAGGUUACUUUACCUUGGAUGAAUGGCGAACCGGUUUGAAAGCUCUUCGAGCUGACAGUAUCAGUAAGCUGAAGAAAGCAUUCCCAGAAUUGGUUCAAGAGGUUACAAGGCCAACCAAUUUCCAGGAUUUCUACACAUAUGCAUUUCGUUAUUGCCUCACAGAGGAUAAGAAGAAGUGUAUAGAAGUACCGGUUGCUUGUGAGUUGCUGAAUCUAGUAUUAGGCUUGCAGUUCCGCCCCCAGGUUGACAAGCUUAAUAAUUACCUCAAGUACCAAAAUGACUACAAGGUGAUAAACAUGGACCAAUGGAUGGGAUUUAUUCGGUUCUGUAAUGAGAUAAACUUCCCAUCACUCGACAAUUAUGAUUCGGACCUUGCUUGGCCUUUGAUUCUAGACAAUUUUGUUGAGUGGCUACGAGAAAAUAGAAGUUAGAUCUUCUAUUCCUGCAAUGGUGGUGAAGAUGUCGUCCAAAAUGUAAUAUUCAAGAAUGUAGCACCCUGAAGGCUCCGGAGGAUGCAGAUUCAGCUUGUUUAUGAUUGCUUUGGUGGAGGCUGGCUACAGAAAUCUUCGAUCACUUUCUUGUGUCGCCUUUUGAUUUUGGGUGUUUUUGAAACUGGAAACGGUCUAUGUUUUUUGGCUAUGUUGCGUUCAAUCAGUUUUGGUAUACUCCAUUUUUUAGAGCUUUGCAAGUUGCAAAUCUUUCUGGAAUGUGCCGUCUUAGUGUGUGUUUUGGUGAAACAGAUAGGGUAAGUUUCAAGCUGGCUGGCAUUGCAACCUGGAACUCCACUUUGGUCCAUUUUCCAAGGAGGGAAGCCCGGAUAGUUGAUGGGCCCCA